UACGAAGGGGGCUAGCGUUGCUCGGAAUCACUGGGCGUAAAGGGUGCGUAGGCGGGACUUUAAGUCAUGGGUGAAAUCCUGGAGCUCAACUCCAGAACUGCCUUUGAUACUGAGGAUCUUGAGUUCGGGAGAGGUGAGUGGAACUGCGAGUGUAGAGGUGAAAUUCGUAGAUAUUCGCAAGAACACCAGUGGCGAAGGCGGCUCACUGGCCCGAUACUGACGCUGAGGCACGAAAGCGUGGGGAUCAAACAGG
rnacentral:rRNA from 1 species